UGUGGCAGCGAAUUCCGUUCAGUCACCGUUCGCUGGGUUUGGAAAGUGGAACGUUGACGCAGUUCCUCGGCCACGUCAUUCGCCGCUUCGCCUCAACCCGCGACCUCAUUGGCUGAAUAAGUUUAGUUCACGUUUUUAAUCCGCUUCUCUUUAACAUGCACCGACCAGCUAAUACUUGUUACGAAUUCAAGGUUCUCUUUCCUGUUAUUUCAUUGACGAUUGUCAUCUUUUUGUCUUUUCUUACAGAUCUUGGUACUCACGUUCUAAAUUUUCAACGUUGCAUUCUAUUUACAUUUUGUUUUUAUUAACACAGUUUUACCUAGUUCUUUUUCGAGGAUGGUUAUAAAUGGUAUUUUCCAACAUUAAAAAACCGAUACACAGAUUCUUCAGAGAUCUUGACAACUGUUGUUGCCUGACAAAAUUUUAUCCAAUUUUGAUGGACACCCUGAGCUAAGCAGAAGUUGAUUUGGAAGUGCUUCAUAAGCGCGAUGCUAAUUUCAUCGCGUUCAGAUGGAUAGAGAAGAUUACUAAGAA